UUAGUAAAAUGUCUAUUUACUCAUUUCACAGAAUACAGUAUAUAAGCUAUACACGUAUAUUUUAAUCAAGAUGGCUGCUAGAAGCUUCUAACCCCUCCUCCCCCAAUAACACCGACUAACUACCUCGUGCAGCAAGAUGGCGCCGGGAAACCGUGAGAGACCCUCAUGGUCCUGGUGACAUCACCCUUAGUAGGCAGAGAAUUAGGAAGACCACUUAAC